UACGGCUCAGUAACACGUAGCUAACCUGCCCUUAAGUCAAGAAUACCCUCGGGAAACUGAGACUAAUGCUUGAUAAGAGAUUUACCCUGGAAAGAUUAAUCUCUGAAACUCGCGCUUAAGGAUGGGGCUGCGGCGGACUAGGUUGUUGGCGGGGUAAAUGCCCACCAAGCCGAUGAUCCGUAAGGGCUCUUAGCGGAGAGGCCCUGAGAGGGAAUCUGAGACACUAUUCCCAGCCCUACGGGGUGCAGCAGUUAGGAAUCUUUUGCAAUGCGCGCAAGCGUGACAAAUUGAACCAGAGUGCUUUUCAAUGAAAAGCUUUUGCCAAAUGCAAAAAGUUUGGCGAAUAAGGACUGGGCAAGACUAGUGCCAGCCGCCGCGGUAAUACUAGCGGUCCAAGUCGCAGCCAUCAUUAUUGGGUCUAAAACAUCCGUAGCUUGCUGAAUAAGUUUCUUGUGAAAUUCUACCUCUUAAGGGUAGAGCGCGCAAGAAAUACUGUUGAGCUAGAGACUGGUAGACGCAGGAAGUACGAUCAAAGUAGUGGUAAAA
rnacentral:rRNA from 1 species